ACAUGGUUUUAAUUUUUCUGUUGGCUUAUUACUAGUGUUAAUUGUUUUUUACUGUUAAUUUCUUGCCUUUUGUUAUUCUGUUGAUUAAUUUAUUAUAUUGUUUUGUUUUCUUCUGUCAUGAUUAAAGCUGCUGCUUCGUAUUGUUUACAACUGUACUCACUGUGAUUUUAAUGGUAUCCAAUUUGGACUUCAUGGUUUAUACCCUUUACACAUCAACUGAUCUGUUUCACUUUCAUCUGGGCUCUAUUUACACUCUUUUCAUCAGUUUUUUUGGAUAUUCCGCCUGUAUUUUAAGCCUUACCAAGUGCCAUUAUUAACUUCUGCUUCUGUUGCUGUUGAUUUUAUUGUUGCUGAUCGUUAUUAUCAUAGUUUAUUCAACAUGAUCAUUAGACUACACAUUUUAAGCUAAUACUCGAGCUAAAUUAAUUAAAAAAGUUUCUCAUCUGAACAAUAUGUUGAACAAAGAAAGUCCCGAAUUAGGGUUUUUUCUGCACAUAUUCUGGUUGUUGCUGUUGUUUAUCCCAAUGAAUCAUUCUUGUCUCAUUGUUCGAGUUGAUUAAAUUUUUUGUUUUACUUUUUCAUUACAAUUUGACCAGAAACUUGUGAUUAAAAUUAAGAUAGACAGUUGAAUAGAGAAACUAAAUUCAUUCUCACCCCAUUAUCUUUCUCUUUUGAUUUAGUAACCUGUUUGUGCGUUAUCAACGUCACUCUUUUUUUAGAGCCAAACACAAUUAAUUGGUCACAACAACAGUAUUGAGCACAGUUUCCAAUUAUAAACUAUGAUAAUAAUGUGAUGCGAGAAAAAAAUCCAGACUCAAUGUUACAUAGAAAAUGUUGAUAGCAGUUGUAAACCUGAUUUCAAAAGGCUGGUUGGAAACAAAGGAAGAUAUUUUUUUUCUGGUCGAAUUGCAUUUGCAAGUGUGUUCAAUUUCAAAUUAAAGCUGGUAACUGUGAUCAUUAAAAAUGGAAGGUAUUCAUUAAUACAGACAAAAAAGCGUCCAUUGUUGAAAUAUCUGCAGAAUCAGAGAAACCAAUAUUUAACUGUAAUCUAUCAUAAAAGGUGGACAUUAACCCUCCAGAGGAUUUUGAUAGGAAGAGUCAACUUAAACAGUAUUUUAUGGUGCAUUGAAAUAAAUGUAAUCUUGCCUCAGUCAAAGUUAAACAAUUUCCAAGCCGUAAGCAUCACCAUCAUUAUCAUCAUCAAACUUUAUUUCUCAUCAUCCCUUUAUUUCACCAUCUUCUGUCAUCCCUCAGUUUUAUUUAUUUUGUGCUUUUUGGUGUUUUUUCCUGUGUUGAUGAAAAUCAUUUCAUCCCUUGCCAACAUGAUUUCAUCAUCUUUUUUACAACGCAACCACCAUCGCCAUCCUCAUCCUCAUCAUUACCAUCAUCUUUAAACUAGAAACAACAGAAAUUCAUUCAACCAUUUACAGCUUAUGUAAUAAAAUGGUUGUCCUAAUACUCUUUUCUUGUACUAUUUUGGCUUAAAAACAGAAACAGUAUCAUUUUUUGCAACACAUUUUUUCAGUUUUACUCUCAUCAAUUGGUCCACUCAAUGUUUAUCAAUCGUCCGAUUAACUUUACUGUUUUUGAUCACCUUCAUCUUCAUCCUCAUCUUCAUCCUUCUCCUCCUCUUUCUCAUCAUCAUUCGUGAUUAACAUAAAUAUUGAUGUAGUAUUUGGAGAAACAGAACGUUAAGAGGAUUUUUGUUCAAUAAAAUCGGAUAAAAUCACAUAUUUAGACAUUCAGAUUAGCUUCAAUUAAAAUUGUAAUAAAAGCUUAACAGAUGAAGAAAAAGAUUAACGUCAAAAAUGUAAAUGAUUAUUUUUUAAUUGAUUAUCUUUGAACAAAAAUCUUAUCCCAAAAGUGAAUUUAUAAUUUAAAAUAAUGGUAACAUUCAAUUUUAAACAUCAGUUUAACAUCAUUUUGCUAAAAUGAGAAACACGAUAACUUUUAAUUACAAUAAGUUUGAUUGUUGGGUUAGGCUUAGUCAAUUGUGACCAUUAAAUGAGAUUUAAUCACGAAAUGAUGAUUAAUAAUUUAUGAUAAAAUCUGUUGCAUCCAAACUCACUGUUGCAAUCAAAUUUUGCUUCAAUUGUUUCAAUUCUGUGAUGACAUUAUCAAAGUCAUUCCCAUACUGUUCAUCAUCAUCCUCCUCAUCCCUGUAACCAUCAAAACCGAACCUUUUCUCUCUCAUUUUCAGGUCGAUUUAUUGAUUCUUCAAAGUGAAAAUGUGUUUACCUAAGCAGAUAAGAAAUAUGAAAAAAAGUCAAAAAAUAAUCCACUGAAUCAGGAUGAUACUUGAAAAGCAAGAUGAACAAGAUGGAAUCAUAAAGGAAAGGUGAAUUUUGCUGAUGAAAAAAUGAAAGAACAGAAUAAUCUGUUAAAGUUGCUUGAUUAACCUGAAUUGUGAUUAUCAAGUUGAACCUCAAAUGGCUGUUUGAAAAUGUUUACACCACUGGAAGAGACUCGGGUUGAUGAUGUUUGUUGAACUUGGAAACAAGACUCAAUUGGUUAAUUGUCAACACUUACAUCAGAUAAUCAAGCUAAUUACAUUUUGAUUAAAAAAAGAGUAAAAAGUUGAUCUUGGAAAAUUUUCAAUGAAAUGUAUGGCUAAAAAAGACAAAGCGUAAACAAGUUAUCUUCCUCUGCCAGUCGCUGUUUCCAUCUGAAUAAAAGGGAGAAAAAGACAGGAUUUUCCUUCCCUUCAUCAUCAACAUCCUCAUCAUACUCAUUCUCAUUCUCAUCAUCAUCUUUUGAGCUGUUAUUGCUUGAUGAGGAUAAAUUCUUUACACACUCGAUUUCCCCUAAAGACUCUUUUCUUGAUCCAGAGAGAUAAAAAGCCUUGGAUGGUUAAGAAGAUAAUGUUAUAUAUAUAUAUAUUUUUAUAUGUAUUAUGCCAAUGGCUGGGAGUAAAGAUGAUGGGGAGGAUGAGAAGGGAUAAGAUGAUAAAGACUGGUAGGCGAAUGAAUCCAUUCUCAAGAGAAUCCAUCAUCUUCUUUAGUCAAAAUGGCGUCAUGUUCGAACCUUUUUCAAGGGCAAAUUCAUCGAGUUAUGUACAUUUACAUAAAUGGCGGAGUAAAAGAAAAGAGCAACAACAACAAGAAUAAUAUGGAGAACAAAAAAGUAGCUGAUAAGCUGAAUUGUAUAGAGAAAUGAAUAUUCUGGUGAAGGCAAAUAUUUUUCAGUUUACUGUUUCACCAUUUUCCUCUAAAUGAUGGUUCACAAGAAUGUUGCUUAUUGAAUGCAAGUAAAUUUAACAGUCAAUUCGUUGAUUUUGUCAAUUUCAUACCAAUGGAAAAGAGAAUAUAUUUUCUUCCUUUUAUUCGCCAUCAAUCUUGAAAUGUUCAUUCAAAAAGGAUAUUGAAAAACAAAAAUUGAUUUCCAGGCAAUAAUUUACAAUCCCAUUGGAUGCCAACUCUACAAGAUAAGUUCAGUUUUUUGUGUAAACCUACCAGUUCCAUUGACUUGUUUUGAUUGACUAAAUAUAAAGACAUAAUUUUCGUUAUUUUCCUCUAUUAUAGUGACAAGGAAUUGAUAAAAAGUCAGUUUUAUUGGAGGUGAUAAAUUCAAUGGUUAAAGUUGAUUCGAUCCCAAUAAACAUUCCAGUUUAUUCAAAUUUACAUGUUGGCCAAAAUUUGGAUUCUCAGCUUAAUCAUGGAGAUUGAAGUCAACUUGAAGCUAAUCAUAUUCAAGUUGCUUGUUGGACCCAAUCUAACUAUUAGAAUUGAUUUGUUGACUUUUAAUGUUUAGAGGCUUCAAACAUUUUGACAUUUUAAUCAAAAUUCACCCAAAUUCUUGCAUUAUUAACAGUCAGUUGAUAAUCUUGACCGAUUUGACUGAGUUUGAGUAAAAAUGUUUAACAAAAUUAUCAAUACGCUCAACAUUACCUUGGAAAAACUGAUUUGAUCUAAAAUCACGAAAAGAUGAUCAACAUGAAGUUGAUUUGAUGCUAAUAAACAUUUCAUUGAAUGCUUGUCCAGCAUUUGAAAUGGACAAGUUUACAAGAAGAUGGUUUUUCCAGGUAAAUUGAAUUGGAACAAAAGGAACAAGGAAAAGGCAUAAAUCUUGAUUUUGACCAUUUCUUUCAUUACCUUUGCUCUUUUUACCUCCAACAUGAUAUUUACAUUUACCUCUAAAGCUGAAUAGCAAAAGAGAAGCGCAAAGUUUCCUUUUUUUCCUCACACAUUUCAAUUUCUAAUUCGAUUGAAUAGAAAAUGAAUGUUCUUUUGGAGAGAAAUUUCAUUUUCUCUUUCAAUUGAUGGUGUAAACCAAUUUCAUUUGACAUGAUCAAAUGAGCUCAUCAUCAAGUCAGGUCACAUUUUGAUUAAAAACGGAAACGGAUUAUCAGACGACUGAAAAUCUCAUAAUAACUAAACAGUAUUUUUCAUGACACAAUGAAUUUCAUUGUCUAUUAACAGUGUUCAAUGGAGAUACAUGAAAGAAUCCAAUAUCUUUCCGUUUCUUCAUCUUUACAUGAUGAAAAUAAUCUCAUUAAUGAUAAUCUUAUUUACUUAAUAAGAGGUUUUGCUGUUGCUCAUUCAUUGUGAGGAAAACUGAGCCAAGAAAAGGUCGUAAAAAAAGGUUGAAUAACAUGAUACAAAAUUGUUAAUUAAUCUUGCAAUUUAGAUGAACAUUGGAACAAUUUUCUUGCUCAUUCAUGGCAAUUUAUGAAAAAUAGAUUAUUCCAAUUCUGUUAUUAAAUCUGUUUAAAUGUUCUUCUUCAGGCAUUUCUUUUGGUUCCUCUAAUUAUGAUGGAUGAAAAUGAAAGGAUGGAAUUGAAAAAAUAGAUAAAACCUGGAUUAAUGUUGAGGAAUGGUGGAAACUAUUGAAUUUGAUGAUUAUCAUGCUGUGUGUUCAUGUUUUUUUUUCAACAAAACUAUCAGCUUUGGUUAUCAGCUUUAGCUGUUUGUGCUUUGAAUAAACAAAUGAAAGGAAAAUAAAGGAAGGAACAGAAAAAUUGUUCAGUAAUUUUUUCUUCUUUUUUCUCUCCUUUCUCUCAUCAAACAUGAAAAAUGUGUGAAAAUGAAAUAACAGGGUGAAAAUGAUGGCAUAACUGAAUCAAUAUUUUUGAUUGAAGCCAACAUUUAAAAGGUGUUUUUGUUGAAGCAAAACAAAGUCAAAUGAUUAGUUGACCAAAAGGUUAGUUGAACAAUUUUUUACUUCAAAAUCUCCAGACAAAACACAGUCAAGUCCAACGGAAUUCCCAGUGAAUAUCGAUUCAAUCUUAACGAGUGAUUCGUGAUGAAACGAUGAAACCUUUUCACUUCAAAAUCUAUUCUUAACUGUUGUUUAUCAUUGAAAGAGUUGCCUUAGACAUUGGUUUAAUGAGAAGAAAACUUUGCAUGAAAAACACAAAAUCCAUUCAACUUGAUUGAAGACUUGAGAUUUCAUUUUCUUAUGGAAAAGCACAAAACGAAUGCAAAAUUAGCUUAAUUUUCAUUAAAUGUUUCCCAUUUUUAAAGCAACAACUCAAAGCUUGGCUCAAUAUUUCAUGACCAAACAAGAGAUUUUUUGGAAAAAUUCAAUUCUCUGCCAAUUCUGUCCAUUUGUUUCAUCUGCAGCUUUUAGUCAACAUUACAAGUGAUUUAAGCAUCAAACUCAAUCUCCAUAAAGGAAUGAAGCUAAAGCUUAAAAAUAAAUUUCGGUUGAAAUUUGAAUGAAUAACUGAAACAGCUUUUGUUAGACAUUUUCUGAUUAUUUGGCUUAAGUUAUAAUGAAAUGAAUUGAAAUCAACUUGAACCCAAAUUUGAAUGUUGCUAAAGUGCUUUAAUAAUCGAUUGAUUUUCCAUUUUAUUGCGCUUCUAAAGAUGAAAAUGGAUGAGAGUCUGGAGAGACAAUAUUAAAGGUUUUGAUGUAGAGUUUUGAAGAGGAUUAGAAUGGGAAAUGGACAAAGAAGAUGAGGAGAAGAUGAUUAUUAUGAUGAGAAUGAAAGGAAAUUUAAAUUUAAUAA